GAUGAACGCUGGCGGCGUGCCUAAUACAUGCAAGUCGAGCGAACGGACGAGAAGCUUGCUUUUCUGAUGUUAGCGGCGGACGGGUGAGUAACACGUGGAUAACCUACCUAUAAGACUGGGAUAACUUCGGGAAACCGGAGCUAAUACCGGAUAAUAUUUUGAACCGCAUGGUUCAAAAGUGAAAGACGGUCUUGCUGUCACUUAUAGAUGGAUCCGCGCUGCAUUAGCUAGUUGGUAAGGUAACGGCUUACCAAGGCAACGAUGCAUAGCCGACCUGAGAGGGUGAUAGGCGACACUGGAACUGAGACACGGUCCAGACUCCUACGGGAGGCAGCAGUAGGGAAUGUUCCGCAAUGGGCGAAAGCCUGACGGAGCAACGCCGCGUGAGUGAUGACGGUCUUCGGAUCGUAAAACUCUGUUAUUAGGGAAGAACAUAUGUGUAAGUAAAUGUGCACAUCUUGACGGUACCUAAUCAGAAAGCCACGGCUAACUACGUG
rnacentral:rRNA from 1 species